rnacentral:rRNA from 1 species
GAUGAACGCUGGCAGCGUGCCUAAUACAUGCAAGUCGAGCGAACAGACGAGGAGCUUGCUCCUCUGACGUUAGCGGCGGACGGGUGAGUAACACGUGGAUAACCUACCUAUAAGACUGGGAUAACUUCGGGAAACCGGAGCUAAUACCGGAUAAUAUAUUGAACCGCAUGGUUCAAUAGUGAAAGACGGUUUUGCUGUCACUUAUAGAUGGAUCCGCGCCGCAUUAGCUAGUUGGUAAGGUAACGGCUUACCAAGGCAACGAUGCGUAGCCGACCUGAGAGGGUGAUAGGCCACACUGGAACUGAGACACGGUCCAGACUCCUACGGGAGGCAGCAGUAGGGAAUCUUCCGCAAUGGGCGAAAGCUUGACGGAGCAACGCCGCGUGAGUGAUGAAGGUCUUCGGAUCGUAAAACUCUGUUAUUAGGGAAGAACAAAUGUGUAAGUAACUAUGCACGUCUUGACGGUACCUAAUCAGAAAGCCACGGCUAACCACGUG